rnacentral:misc_RNA from 1 species
UUUCCGUAGGUGAACCUGCGGAAGGAUCAUUAUAAAUGAAAAACGAAUAACUUCAGGGAAGAGGGGAACCUGCACGGUGACCUCCCCUGUCGGGCCACCCAAUACCUUCAAAAUGCCGCCGUCCUAGCGGUGGCAGACGAAAAAAAAACAAGAAAAACAAAAUAGAAACAGGCACGGUGGCCCGUUCACCUUCACACAACCCUCCGAGUACCGCUUCCAUGUUGCUUCCCCGCAAAUCCACCUCUUUGGUGAGCGCGGGGGAGGUCCGCAUCAAAUUCACCUGAAUGUCACAGCAGUCAGACAGCCAUUCAUGGAAACAAUAAAACUUUCAACAACGGAUCUCUUGGUUCCC